ACCACUCCAACAAACGUCUACGACCGCGCCUACAUAGUUUUGCAUGUUUACAAUUCUAAUUUUGAACAGCCAAUCAGGUUCUUGGUAACAAUUACAAUUAAACGUGGAUUGGUUGUUUAAAAUUAGAAUUGUAAACAUGCAAAAAUAUGUAGGCGCGGUCGUAGACGUUUGUGGGAGUGGU
rnacentral:miRNA from 1 species